CUCGCAUUGAAAAUUAAUGGUAUUGAGUCGCUGUCGCGCGCGAUGUCGCUGGCAGUGUGUACGCACCUUAAGAGAAUGAUGAUGACAUGAGCCUUUAUUGACGAAGCGAUACGAUGCUCACGCGACAAGCGUAUGGCUGAAGGUUUGGACAGAGGGGUUGUAAAUAUGACGGGGCCGUUGACACUUGUGGGAAAGGCGGAUCUUAUACCCAGACCGGUGACAUCUGCGUAGCGACUUCCUGCGAGUUGUGUUUUCCUCAUGGGUGGAUGGACUUGUUGAUGCCACUGAGCUGCAGGACAAACACGAGAGUGAAAAUGUCUGUUAAGUUGCUGUGAAGUGUGUGCAUUAGUUGUAUGUGCUGGAGUAAAUGACCGGCUGUGGCAUUCCCACGACUCGGCACUCUAAACGGACCGGAGCGCCCUCUGCGAUGCCCG